rnacentral:rRNA from 1 species
AGGAAUUGGCGGGGGAGCACCGCAACGGGAGGAGCGUGCGGUUCAAUUGGAUUCAACGCCGGACAACUCACCAGGAGCGACGGUUACAUGAAGGCCAGGUUGAUGACCUUGCCCGAUUUUCCGAGAGGUGGUGCAUGGCCGUCGUCAGUUCGUACCGUAAGGCGUUCUCUUAAGUGAGAUAACGAACGAGACCCUCACCAUUAAUUGCGAGCUUUCUCUCCGGAGGGAGUGCACAUUAGUGGGACCGCUGGCGCUAAGUCAGAGGAAGGAGAGGUCAACGGUAGGUCCGUAUGCCCCGAAUCUCCUGGGCUACACGCGCGCUACAAAGGUUGGGACAAUGGGCUACAACAUCGAAAGGUGAAGUCAAUCCCGAAACCCAAUCGUAGUUCGGAUUGAGGGUUGUAACUCACCCUCAUGAAGCUGGAUUCCGUAGUAAUCGCUUGUCAACAUCAAGCGGUGAAUAUGCCCCUGCUCCUUGCACACACCGCCCGUCAAGCCACCCGAGUAGGGUUUCAGUAAGGAUAUCUCUGAUUGGGGUUUUCGAACUGAGAUUCUGCAAGGAGGGCUAAGUCGUAACAAGGUAGCCUCAGUCAGUCA